UCCUCGCCAGUGCUUAGAAAGUAAAAAUGAAUAUUUGAAAAGGUAUUUGUAUAAGCUCAAGUAAACGGCGGCUGUAACCUUGACGGUCUUAAGGUAGCGAAAUCCCUAGUCAAUUAAUUGUUGACGUGCAUGAAUGGAGUAACGACUGUUUUACUGUCUCGGGCUUUUGUACUGUGAAUUCAUAAUUGUCGUGAAGAUACGACAUUCCUAUAGUGGGACGGUAAGACCCUAUGCAGCUUUACUAUAAUUUUAAAGUGUUUGAAAUUCUUUAAGUAUGUAGGAUAGGUAUAAGCUUAUUAUUUCUUAACGCAAGUUAAUUGAUUAGGCAAUCUUGAAAUAGUACCUCUUUAAAAAUUUUAAACUAAUUUUACAAAGACAUUUUAUGAUUGGUAGUUUCACUGGGGC
rnacentral:rRNA from 1 species